GAGAAGAAACGGAAAUAAAUCAAUAUUUUCGACAUUAAAACGUCACGUGUAGCCCCGCCCAAACAUGGCUGCAAUCUGCAAGCUCAAAGCGUCUAGAGACAGGAAUGGAUCCAAUUAGUUACAUGUAUGUGGGUCAGUGGUUUUAUAUCUGUAAUACGCAUGCGCAUUACUCCCACAUGGACAAAAAUCACAAUAUGGCUGCCACCAACUGAGUGUUUUUCAUAUUUCUAGUGCUGUCUUUGUGGUUCCAGGCCUUUUGCUAGUUGUUUGCAUGAGUUGGAUCACUGAUUAGACUAAUAGAACCUUGCACUAGAAUGUAUCUUCUAAUUAUUCUUGUGUGAGGAAAUGGGCUUUUUAGUCUUUCCUGGGUUAUCAUUUGUUCCCUCCACCACAAUUACUCAUUUCAGAACUGCAUUUUACACCUUGCCAGCGAAUUGGAUCACAAGAGGUUGCUCAUGAGUUUUUGCUUACAUGUGUAGUAGGAGACUAGGAGCUCAAGUAGGUACAAGGUUGAGCUAAUGUCACGAAAAGCUAUCAGUAUUGUUCAUGGUGGUGGACGAAACUCUGGAUGCUAUAUUUGGAGAUAUAACAUUUCCCCAAGACUAGAUAUAUUAUCAACUCUUUAUUUCCCUUGGCACUACUUAAUGUGACACCAGUAUAUUUCGAGGUCAGUAAAAACUAUUAUUGCUGUAUAAAAUUUGUUUUCGUUAUCUGUAGAAUGACAUUCCUGUCAAAUUAUUUUUAGAGAUGAAAAUAGGCUACAAAGUUCUUUGUAAACAUUAAUGCAAAACUCAACAGAGUAACCUGAAAUCAAAUGUGUGGCUAAACAAGCAUUUAUUCAUGUUUUAACUGUUUUUUUUUUUACAUUUUUGUUUGAGUUAUGAACAUUAUAAAUUAAAGUA